CCAUGUUCAGGAUGAGCCUAGCCGAGGUCCCAACGCUCGGGGGCGGGCCCUGCCCAUUUAUUACCUAUGCACGGGGCGGGCCCGCGUCAGGGUUGCAAGGUGGAAGCUGAAAAUCACUGGGACGCGUGUUCUGGGAUUUCCAGGCAGCCCCUGGGGGAGGGGGGGGGUCUUCUCACCGCUGUGCAGCCUUCUGCAGGCCCAUGGGGCAGCCCCUGGAUUAGGGGCCCUCCCCAGGCUGGGGGUGGGAGGCGACAGAGCCAGCAAUGGCGUGCUGGGCCCAGAAAGACCAGUGGUACUCUAAUGGGGAGAGGGAAGUAAAGAGGCACCUGCUUUUAAGGGAGAAACAAACUCUUCUUCGAGUCCGUAUUUGUGUCUGCCCCUGCUCACCCUAAAUCACACGCCAAGGGGAGAGGUAGCAGGACACCAGCCUUGCUCCCACCGGCCCCAAAAGUCUACUCCAGCACCAUCUGAAGGAAGGAGGGAACUGUGUAUUGCAGUCCAUGAACUGACACAUGAUGACAGAUGAGAGGAACAGCUACUGAUGAAGUAAUUUUACAUGUUGAAAUUACCCCCAGAUCAUGGACACAGUGGAAAGGCAGGAUGUGGGAAGUUUGCCCUGCUGCUGGUCUGUAGAUAAACAGGACUUUAUUCACUGGGGCUGUCAACACAAUACAUUUCACCAAUAUUAAAU